CGUCAAGGGAAGAAGAAAGGGGAACUGUCACAAUUAAUUACCUCCUCUAAAUUGAUAGUUGUAGGCUUCUCGUCACACACUACUGCUGUAAAGCAGAACAACAAAGAUGUUUACAGCUGCGAUAGGGAUUUUUGCAUACGUGCAACCACACAAGGCUGAGCACACUCCUGUCCCUCUGACAUGUUGAGAAAUAGCCAGAAGAGCGCAGUGUGCUCUUGCUGUCAGGCUACAUACUCCGAGCAUUUCCAAAGGCAUGCUGUUCUGUAGAACAUGCUGAGCCGCCCGGACAGUUGGUGCAGGAAGAAUGCAGCAGUAUCAGCGCACUCCAUCCCGGGGAUCUGAAUGCAUUUGCGGAGAGAACAGGGAAAUAAGAGUUCCAACCAGGUGGACUCUCAAUGUCUUGCAAGCGACACCUAGAAGCAGGUACAGGCAGGAGGUACAGCACCCUGCAACCUCCAGGGGCCUUUGUGCAACACCAGAUGUUCAUGUCCUAGAAGCACGUGGCGGAGCACGUCCUGGGAUCAAGGUGCCAUGGACUGGAAAAUGCAGCUCUGGACAUACAGGCUUGGCGGAGUUCCUGUGUGAAGACAAAACUCCCAGUACUCCAGAAACGUGGAGGCAGAAGAGCAGUGACAAGGUAUCUGUAUGUCUGUCAGUAUAUGUGCACAGCCAGGAGUGCGUGGGCAGACAAAGAAGCGUUGUGCAGGCAGGGAAAAAUGAGUGCUGUGGGUCCUGGGAGCAGCAAUGCGGGAGGCUCCUCCUGCUAGUGCUCUUCCGCUGGAACGUCCCUUUGGUUUUCUACCUGGGAGAAUAUUUGAACCCGUUGAAAAAGGUCUGACUUGAAG
rnacentral:lncRNA from 1 species